ensembl:processed_transcript
AUCAUGCUCAACUCUUAAUAUUCUUUUACGCACUUUGAGAGUGUUUGCGUUAUUUCAGAGAGAUAUUUAAGCACAUAUGAAGUAACAGUGCCGUCUGUGUACUAUAGCUACACAAUGCAGCAUUUAGCUCGCUCGUAAAUAUCGCUGCUGUCCUCAGAUCAUUGUCUGAGCAGAAGUUUCAUCAUAAGCCAUGACUGUCAGAUGCUCUUCAUCUCAGGAGCUGUAUUUUUAUAUGCUUGAUAACAGAUAUAAGCGAGAAGAGGCUGAAUCCAAAGCCCGAGAAGAAGCAGAGAAACAGAGGAUCGAACGAGAGAAACACUUCCAGAAGGAGGAGCUGGAACGCUUGGAAAGAAAGAAGCGUCUGGAAGAAAUCAUGAAGAGGACUCGUAAGAGUGACGCAGGAGCACAGGAGAGAUGUUAAUACAGAAAAAUCCGUCAGAAGCUCUUCAUACUGGUGCGACAAACCAAUCACCAAUGAGCUCUGUGUCCUGGGACGCAGCACCGGUCAUUAACGGAGCUCCGCCCACUAAGCAUCAGAAUGGACUGUCCUCCAAUGGAGACGCUGCAGACUUUGAGGAGAUAAUCAAGCUGUCCAAUCACAGUGGGAACAGUGGGCAGAGUCAACCGGCUGACGACCCAAUCAUGGCCUUCGAGGGAGGAGAACCGUUCAUGAUGAAGGCGAGGCCUAUGAAACCUCAACAUGUGGCAGAGGUGCUGUGAGAGAUGAGAUAUCAGAGUCUUCUGGAUAUGAAGAGAAGAAGAGAAGCCUUACUCUACCACCGCUUCCACCCUGAUGUGUGCCAAACCAACAAAAAC